GAUGAACGCUGGCGGCGUGCUUAACACAUGCAAGUCGAACGGUGAAGGCGGAGCUUGCUCUGCUGGAUCAGUGGCGAACGGGUGAGUAACACGUGAGCAAUCUGCCCCUGACUCUGGGAUAAGCGCUGGAAACGGCGUCUAAUACUGGAUACGAGCUGCGAAGGCAUCUUCAGCAGCUGGAAAGAACUUCGGUCAGGGAUGAGCUCGCGGCCUAUCAGCUUGUUUGUGAGGUAACGGCUCACCAAGGCGUCGACGGGUAGCCGGCCUGAGAGGGUGACCGGCCACACUGGGACUGAGACACGGCCCAGACUCCUACGGGAGGCAGCAGUGGGGAAUAUUGCACAAUGGGCGAAAGCCUGAUGCAGCAACGCCGCGUGAGGGACGACGGCCUUCGGGUUGUAAACCUCUUUUAGCAGGGAAGAAGCGAAAGUGACGGUACCUGCAGAAAAAGCGCCGGCUAACUACGUG
rnacentral:rRNA from 1 species